AAAAAGUUAAAUACUGUGGCUGGAAACAACACCCGUUUUCAUCGCUCUGGUUGUCUUGAAGCCCAUGACCCAUCUCUCUCUCUCUCUCUCUCUCUACUUUCUCUCUCAUCAACUAUUAGCUAACAGUGCAUCCCACACCUUUUAAGCUCCCCAUGCUUCAAGAUAUCCUCACUACAACCUCCACACACACACUCACAAACUCCACUGAAAAUAUCUUAUACACAAAUUCCGUUUAUAAUCCUGACCUCUAGCGUAGAAUUGUCCGGAUUUUUGCCCUUUUCCGCUUGUUUUCCGGCGGAAUUUUAGUUUCUCAUUCCAUCAAUUGUGUUGUGGGGUUGGGAGAUGAGAGAUCUGGCUCGAAAUUAGGGCGCCUGAACAAAUGGAUGCUUCUGAGGUCUUGAUCAAAGGGUAUAACGACGUCGGCGGAGGCGAUCCCGUGCCGGGGAACAGGAAUUCCGAGGCCGGGAGAGUGGAUGCUGAGAGAGCGUUGUACACAGAGCUGUGGAAGGCGUGCGCCGGCCCACUGGUGACGGUGCCGCGCGAGAAUGAGCUUGUUUUCUACUUUCCACAGGGUCACAUAGAACAGGUCGAGGCAUCGACUAAUCAGAGCUCUGACCAGCAGAUGCCAGUGUACAAUCUUCCUCCUAAGAUCCUUUGCCGAGUGGUUAAUGUUCAGUUGAAGGCUGAAGCGGAUACUGAUGAAGUGUUUGCUCAGAUUACCUUGAUGCCUGAAACUAAUCAAGAUGAAAAUGCAGAGAGGAAAGAACCACCACCUCUUCCACCACCGCACUUUCGUGUCUAUUCUUUUUGUAAAACUCUUACUGCAUCAGAUACGAGCACUCAUGGCGGGUUCUCGGUACUAAGACGGCAUGCUGAUGAAUGUUUGCCACCACUGGACAUGUCACGGCAACCUCCAACCCAGGAGUUAGUAGCCAAAGAUUUGCAUGGAAAUGAGUGGCGGUUCAGGCACAUCUUUCGUGGUCAACCACGAAGGCAUCUUCUUCAGAGUGGUUGGAGUGUCUUUGUUAGUUCAAAGAGGCUGGUUGCUGGGGAUGCCUUCAUAUUUUUGAGAGGAGAGAAUGGAGAGCUACGUGCUGGAGUGAGGCGUGCCAUGAGACAACAGGGUAAUGUUCCAUCAUCUGUCAUAUCUAGCCACAGCAUGCAUCUUGGUGUCCUUGCAACAGCUUGGCAUGCUAUUCAGACCAAUACCAUGUUCACUGUUUAUUAUAAGCCCAGGACAAGCCCAGCUGAAUUUAUCGUUCCUUACGAUCAAUACGUGGAGUCUCUUAAAAAGAAUUAUUCAAUAGGAAUGAGAUUUAAAAUGAGAUUUGAAGGUGAAGAAGCUCCAGAACAGAGGUUCACUGGAACUAUUGUUGGUACCGAGGAUGCAGAUCGAAAAAGGUGGCAAGAUUCUAAAUGGAGAUGUCUUAAGGUGCGGUGGGACGAAACGUCGGCAAUUGUUCGGCCUGAGAGAGUUUCACCCUGGAAAAUAGAACACACGCUUUCUCCUCCUGUGUUGAAUCCUGUUCCAGUGCCCAGACCGAAAAGGCCUCGUUCAAGUGUCCUACCCUCAUCAUCUGAAUCCUCCGUGCUUACUAGGGAAGGUCCUACAAAGAUGACUGCAGACCCUGCACAUGCUAAUAAUGGGUUCCCAAGGGUCUUGCAAGGUCAAGAAUCAUCGACCUUGAGAGGCCCUUUCUCUGAGAGCAAUGAGUUGGACUCCUCUGAAAAGUCAUAUUUGUGGAAGCCCUCAUUAGAGGACGAGAAGAUUGAUGUUUCUGCUUCAAGGAGAUAUGGAGCAGAUAACUGGUCACCUUUAGGGCGCCCCGAGUCAUCAUUUACAGAUCUGUUAUCAGGGUUUGGCACGAAAACUAAUGCGCCCCGUGAUUUCAGUACGCCUCUUGGCAAUCAAGCAAUGUCAAAGCGACAAACACAAGAUUGCGAUGCAAAAUUUAGCUUAAUGGGGAAUAUUUGGCCUCUGAUGCCUUCUGGUCUCUCACUUAAUCUGAUGGAUUCUAGUAUGAAGAAUCACGUGCAAGGUACAGACGCGUCUUAUCUGGCUCGUGGAGAUAGUAGACAUGGAUCCUUUGGAGACUUUUCUAUGAUUAGUGAUCCUAGAGGUGACAAUCAGGGAGCAAACUGGUCGAUGCCCCCACCCGUGUCAACAUACCUUCACAUGAGGCCUUCUCAGCCAAGAGAGCUGAUGCCUAAGCAACAUGAUGCUAUGAAGCCGAAGGAAGGGAACUGCAAGCUCUUUGGUAUUCCCCUCAUAAGUAAAUCUGCACCAUUGGAGCCAGAAAUCUCAAAUAGAAAUGUGCUAAACCCAUCUGGUUAUUCUCAAAAUUUGGUACAUUCUCAUCAAUUUUCUGCAUUUGAAUUUGAUCAAAGGUCUGAUCAAUCAAAGGGAUUGAAAGUGGGAGAUCACGGUGUCUUUGCCAGCGAGCAAGAAAAUCAAUUCCAAUCCUUCCCUACUUCAGCAACAGAUAGAGAAAACAAAGGUCAUUCUGGUUCAACAAGAAGUUGCACCAAGGUUCAAAAACAGGGGUCUGCCCUUGGUAGGUCUGUGGAUCUGACGAAAUUCAACAACUAUGAUGAAUUGAUCUCUGAAUUGGACGAUCUCUUCGAAUUUGGGGGUGAACUCAAGGCUAGGAACAAGAAUUGGCUAGUUGUUUACACUGAUGAUGAGGAUGACAUGAUGCUUGUUGGAGAUGAUCCUUGGGUGGAAUUUUGUUGCAUGGUCCGCAAGCUCUUAAUCCUUACAAAAGAGGAGAUGCUGCGUAUGAACCCAGGGACCUUAAACUCAAAAGGAGAGGACACUUCAUCAAUCGCAGAUGGUGUUGAUGCUAAUGUCCAGAGUUUUCCAUCAUCGAGCCCGGACGACUACUAGUUGUGCUCUAUCCUGGUGUGUUCAGGCAUGGUCUGACUGUAUAAUCCAUCUAACCAUUGAAUUUUGGGAACGUUGAAUGGUGAGAUGCGAAUGGAGUUCCUUCAGCAUGACGACCAGAUGCUCUUAUAUAUAGAUACACCUAAGAAUUUGCAAUUUUGGAUCCCUUUUUACAUAAUGUGCUUGACAUUAUAUAAGAUUGGUAUGUGUCACCGGAUUAUUCAACCUCUGUAAAUAGGCACCAGCCGCAAAAUCCCCAGCAUGGAUGUAAUGCAGAAGAAUAGGACGGGUUUGUUCCUGCAGAAUUCAUGGUUUAAUUUGUAGGAGUAUAUAGUGUGUUACCGGCAUUAGUAUAAAUGGGGUUGGUCUGCUGUCAUCUGUGAGGUACAUAUUAUAUCUGCGCUCAUGUACAGGUGCAGAGAAGCUACAAGCCAAUGGAGGAUGUCGAAAUAAUCUGAUGCUUGGCAUGGCUUCGCGUACGCAGAUGCUACUUUCAGAUGCCAGAAAUCACUAAUCUGGAUAUCUUGUUGUGCGUAUAAGUAAAUACUAAUUCAUGGAUUAAAUUGCAUUAUGAUAUAAUUAUAAGAAUUGCAUUAUGAUAUUGAUAUAUAUAAAACUCAGUUGCUCAUUCUAAGAAAGCAUAUUUGAGGAAACUUUUUUUAAUUA